rnacentral:rRNA from 1 species
GACGAACGCUGGCGGCGUGCUUAACACAUGCAAGUCGAACGGAAAGGCCCUGCUUUUGUGGGUUGCUCGAGUGGCGAACGGGUGAGUAACACGUGAGUAACCUGCCCUUGACUUUGGGAUAACUUCAGGAAACUGGGGCUAAUACCGGAUAGGAGCUCCUGCUGCAUGGUGGGGGUUGGAAAGUUUCGGCGGUUGGGGAUGGACUCGCGGCUUAUCAGCUUGUUGGUGGGGUAGUGGCUUACCAAGGCUUUGACGGGUAGCCGGCCUGAGAGGGUGACCGGCCACAUGGGGACUGAGAUACGGCCCAGACUCCUACGGGAGGCAGCAGGGGGGAAUAUUGCACAAUGGGCGGAAGCCUGAUGCAGCAACGCCGCGUGCGGGAUAACGGCCUUCGGGUUGUAAACCGCUUUCGCCUGUGACGAAGCGUGAGUGACGGUAAUGGGUAAAGAAGCACCGGCUAACUACGUG